GAUAAGAGCAUGGCGUCCUUAUAGGAAGGGAUUCUGGAGAGGGAACUGCUACAGGCUGUGUACCUGUGCUGGGCUCCUCAGAGUCACAUCCCACACGGCCACACCAUUCAGAAGGAUGGGGACCCAGAAGUUAACACUGAUGGCCAGCUUCAAUGGACUCAGGUUGUUCACCUGCAGGAAUGGAGACCAGAGAGCCGGGGAGUCACAUGGAAGGAGAUCAAACUCACCCUGAGAAGUUGAAGCUGACGCCCAGGUCCCCCUCACACAGGAGCUUCUGCCUACAGUUCUUCUCAAACGGGAGCUGAAACAAAAGUGAUCACCAAGCCCCAGAGUCUUCCUUCGGGUCAAAGUGCAGUUCUUCGUCUCAUCAAAAAUGGCACGAGAAAUCAGACGGCCCGGAUCCAACGCCAGAUCAUACCUGACAGAGCUUUGGACAUCACCUGAAAUAAAGGGGAAAGGAAAAAAUGUAAAACC
ensembl:processed_transcript 4931431B13Rik RIKEN cDNA 4931431B13 gene